rnacentral:lncRNA from 1 species
GAUCUGAGAUAUCUUAGUGGAGCUGCUGGCAGAAGAAGGGGCUAACAGGUAUUAUAUACAGCAUUAAAUCAGUCGCCAGCUGGAUCUCAUCUGCACUGUGGACCCAGCUUCAGUGUAAUCCCGGAAAUAGUGAUAAACAACAAUACUAGAUCAGAGAAAAAUAAAGUGCUCUCUGAUUGAUUGAAGCAUAGAACAGUUGCACCUGCUAAGAUCACGUUACUCUGAGGUGCGUGGACUGCCAUAGACUCUCAUUGACUUCCUGAAUGAGCACCUCACUCAAUACACUUCUCAAAUGAUCAGAAAGCAGUAGGUAAGUAAUGGUUCAGUGAAAAACUUGCACUCUACUGCACCAAUAGAUUUGAUAGAUAGA